rnacentral:rRNA from 1 species
UACGUAGGGAGCAAGCGUUGUCCGGAUUUAUUGGGCGUAAAGAGCUCGUAGGCGGCUUAGAAAGUCAGGUGUGAAAACUCUGGCUUAACCCAGACGACGCCACUUGAUACUUCUAUGGCUUGAGUUCGGUAGGGGACCAUGGGAAUUCCUGGUGUAGCGGUGAAAUGACGCAGAUAUCAGGAGGAACACCGAUGGCGAAGGCAGUGGUCUGGGCCGUAACUGACGCUGAGGAGCGAAAGCGUGGGGAGCGAACAGG